CUCUUUCGUCUUAAUUUCUCAAUUUUCAUUUAAAAAAAGUUACUUUUUCGCUUUUCCCACUGUUCUGUUUCUAUUGAUUUCAUUUUUAAUUAACAACAGCAAAAAAAAAAAAUUGAACAAUUCUGACCUUCAUCUGACCUGCCUGUCAGAUUCAAGUCUAUUCCACAAACAUUUCUGAUUUUAAUGUCUUCCGUGAAUUAUUCAUGUCGCAUUUCUAUGGUUUAUAUAUCAUCUACAUUUGCAACUCAAUUAAUAAAAUAUGAUUUACCUUAAUUCCAUCCAUUCACAUAACACAUUUGCACAUUGCUUCCAGUCAUGGAAUACUAGAGAAAUGAUAUACCCCUUCUGAUACCAAAACUUUAAAAAAAAAAUUAUUAUAAAAAAAUCUUCAUAAAAUGCAAAUUACAUGAGAAUACUCGCAAGUGUUUCUCGAGUGGUUAUGGGAUAUUCUUUUCGAUAGUACUAUGUUAAGGUUCUUGUUUCCAUAAAAUUUUAUUUUUAUUAUUUUAAUGUCUGAAAGUACUGCACGGUGUUUUGUCUCUAUAAUUGGCGAUAUUUAUUUGUUUUUAUGAAAAUUCUUUCCGUUUUUUUUUCUCUCUCCAUGCCUAAUGUGAUACAUAUAAUAUAAUUGCAUGCAUUAGUU